UACGUAGGCAGCGAGCGUUGUUCGGAGUUACUGGGCGUAAAGGGUGUGUAGGCGGUGCUCUAAGUUCGGGGUGAAAUCUCCCGGCUCAACUGGGAGGGUGCGCCGGAAACUGGAGUGCUAGAGUGCGGGAGAGGGAAGUGGAAUUCCUGGUGUGGCGGUGAAAUGCGAAGAUAUCAGGAGGAACACCUGUGGUGGAGACGGCUUCCUGGACCGCCACUGACGCUGAGACACGAAAGCGUGGGGAGCAAACAGG
rnacentral:rRNA from 1 species